AUACGGGGGGGGCAAGCGUUGUUCGGAAUUAUUGGGCGUAAAGCGGGUGUAGGCGGCCAGGCAAGUCAAGUGUGAAAUCCCUGGGCUCAACCCAGGAACUGCACUCGAAACUGCUUGGCUAGAGUCCCGGAGAGGGUGGCAGAAUUCCCGGUGUAGAGGUGAACUUCGUAGAUAUCGGGAGGAAUACCAGUGGCGAAGGCGGCCACCUGGACGGUGACUGACGCUCAGACCCGAAAGCGUGGGGAGCAAACAGGAUUAGAAACCCCAGUAGUCC
rnacentral:rRNA from 1 species